GUAGCCAUAAACCUUGAUGGUAACUUUACUUCCCCCAUCCGCCUGGGAACUACGAGCACCAGCUUAAAACCCAAAGGACUUGGCGGUGCUUUAGACCCCCCUAGAGGAGCCUGUUCUGGAACUGAUAACCCCCGUUAAACCUCACCACCCCUUGUUAAUACCGCCUAUAUACCGCCGUCGUCAGCUUACCCUGUGAAGGUAUAACAGUAAGCAAAGCUAGUAAAACUCAAAACGUCAGGUCGAGGUGUAGCGAAUGGGUUGGGAAGAAAUGGGCUACAUUUUCUCUUGAGAAUAUACGAAUGGUGUGUUGAAACACCCACCUAAAGGAGGAUUUAGCAGUAAGUGGUAAAUAGAGCGUCCCACUGAAACCGGCCCUGAAGCGCGCACACACCGCCCGUCACUCUCCCCUGUUGACUCCCGACUUUCCAUAAAACUUUUAUUAAACAAAGGGGAGGCAAGUCGUAACAUGGUAAGUGUACUGGAAGGUGCAA
rnacentral:rRNA from 1 species